GACGAACGCUGGCGGCGUGCCUAAUACAUGCAAGUAGAACGCUGAAGGAGGAGCUUGCUUCUCUGGAUGAGUUGCGAACGGGUGAGUAACGCGUAGGUAACCUGCCUGGUAGCGGGGGAUAACUAUUGGAAACGAUAGCUAAUACCGCAUAAUAGCAGUUGUUGCAUGACAACUGUUUGAAAGGUGCACAUGCCUCACUACCAGAUGGACCUGCGUUGUAUUAGCUAGUUGGUGGGGUAAAGGCUCACCAAGGCGACGAUACAUAGCCGACCUGAGAGGGUGAUCGGCCACACUGGGACUGGGACACGGCCCAGACUCCUACGGGAGGCAGCAGUAGGGAAUCUUCGGCAAUGGACGGAAGUCUGACCGAGCAACGCCGCGUGAGUGAAGAAGGUUUUCGGAUCGUAAAGCUCUGUUGUAAGAGAAGAACGAGUGUGAGAGUGGAAAGUUCACACUGUGACGGUAUCUUACCAGAAAGGGACGGCUAACUACGUG
rnacentral:rRNA from 1 species